rnacentral:lncRNA from 1 species
GGAGAGCCCUUUUGAGUCUGCGUUGGCGUGGCUGCUGCUUCUUGCUCCAGUCCCUUUGUUCACUGAGUCCAUAUGCCAUGCUCCAGUUGUAUCAUCCCCUUUUCCCUCGACCUCGUUUUCUCACCGGGAAUAUGGGAAGAAAACGCACCCUUACCUCCCCCGAACCCUGUGCGUGGCGAGUGAGCAUUGCUUUUCUUGGCGCCCCUUGGAGCUGUGGCUGCCCUCGCGUGCCUGGCCUCUCCCGGGGCUGAGCCCUUCGGGUUGAGGCCUGGAGCCCCCGGGCGCAGCGCCGGGACACUACCCGGCUCCAGGUCCUCGGCUUCGGCAGCCUUAGGGAACCCAGAAAGUAGUGGGGAGGAGGCGAGACGUGCGCCCGGAUGCCAAAGGGGAGCUUCAUUCAGCUCCUUAUUGGCCCACCCCCUGCAGAGUGAAUGAGAAAGUGAUGAAAGGAAGGGGUUGAUUUUCUUCGAACCGCACAGAAGAAGCUGCUUUUCCCAUAGGAAUGUCCGGCUGGCGGUCACCGAGGAAAACACCCUGUGUGUCAGACUUCCGCGGGUGUUUGGAGGAUUUCGAAUUGCUAGCUCCUGUUUUUUUUUGUUUUUUGUUUGUUUAAGUGCACGUUAAACAUUG